CCUACGGGAGGCUGCAGUGGGGAAUAUUGGACAAUGGGGGCAACCCUGAUCCAGCCAUGCCGCGUGUGUGAAGAAGGCCCUCGGGGUGUAAAGCACUUUCAGUGAGGAAGAACGCCUGGUGGUUAAUACCCAUCAGGAAAGACAUCACUCACAGAAGAAGCACCGGCUAACUCCGUGCCAGCAGCCGCGGUAAUACGGAGGGUGCGAGCGUUAAUCGGAAUUACUGGGCGUAAAGCGCGCGUAGGUGGCUUGAUAAGCCGGUUGUGAAAGCCCCGGGCUCAACCUGGGAACGGCAUCCGGAACUGUCAAGCUAGAGUGCAGGAGAGGAAGGUAGAAUUCCCGGUGUAGCGGUGAAAUGCGUAGAGAUCGGGAGGAAUACCAGUGGCGAAGGCGGCCUUCUGGACUGACACUGACACUGAGGUGCGAAAGCGUGGGUAGCAAACAGGAUUAGAUACCCUUGUAGUC
rnacentral:rRNA from 1 species